AGGAAUCAACCCAGCUUGCAAAAUUUGUCGGUUUAUUAAACACAUUUUCAUAUCUACAUGCAACCUUCUUCACCAUAAAACCAAAGCUCUAGCCUUGUUUUAUUCAAUCUUGAAAGAAACACACCUCUCUACUUUCUUCACAUGGCUUCCCACAACCUCAAAAUCCAUGAACAGUGCACUGUUGCUCCUCCCUCUGCGCCCCAAACAUCCCUCCCUCUCGUAUUCUUCGACCUGCUCUGGCUCAGGUUUCAUCCUGUAGAACGCAUCUUCUUCUAUUCCCUCCCAGUAACCCAUUCAAACCCAUCCGUUUUCUUCACCCAAGUUGUUCCAAAGCUCAAAACUUCACUCUCUCACACCCUCCAACACUUUUCCCCUCUCGCNGGCAACGUCCUGUGGCCCCAUGCUUCUCCANUCCCGGUCGUUCAGUACAACCCAGGCGANGCUNUUUCAGUGGUGCUUGCAGAAUCCGAAGCCGACUUCGACCAUGCGUUGGACAACGCUCCUAAAGACGCAUCAGAGUCACGUUGUUUGGUGCCCCACUUGGAAUCCUCGGAUUCUCAUGCCUCUGUUAUGGCUCUCCAAAUCACUCUGUUCCCUAACAGAGGGUUCGCCAUNGGAAUCACCACUCACCACGCCGUCCUUGANGGAAAAUCUUCAACUCUUUUCAUCAAAGCUUGGNCUUCUCUGUGNAAANCCANUGAUGAUNACUCUGNGUCAUCACCAUCUUUGGCUCCAGAAUUGGAGCCNUUCUUUGACAGAACAGUCAUCAAAACCCCAAGUGAGUUAGGGUUCNANUUANCANUCNNUNUGNNUGAGNNNNUAACCAAANNNUUCCCNAGUGAAAACAGUGACGGAAGAUGCUUGAAGCUUCUACCUUUCCCUCCAAGAUUGGAAGAUCAUGUUCGAGGGACAUUCGUGCUCACGGGAGCAGAUUUGGAAAGAUUAAAUAAUAGGGUGCUGUCCAAGUGGGACAGUGUAGACAUAGUUGAAGCAGAAUCAGACUCAAACUCAACGGUUUCUCCAAAACCAACCAAAUUGUCGACUUUUGUUCUAACUUGCGCUUAUACUUUUGUUUGCAUUGCCAAGGCCUGGCACGGAGUUGAGAAGGAGAAAAAUAAGUUUGCCAGUGGGUUCACUAUGGAUUGCAGGGCCAGGUUGGAGCCUCCAAUUCCUGAAAACUACUUUGGGAACUGUGUGUGGGGCAGUUUGGUGGAUGCGAAGCCAUCCGCAUUUAUAGAGGAAGAAGGAUUGGUUAUUAUUGCGAAAAGUACUCAUAGUAAAAUAAAAGAGAUGCUAGAUAAGGGUGUUUUUCAUGGGAUAGCUAAUGCGGCUCCUAGAUAUGCAGCUUUGGCAAAAGAGGGAGUUGAAAUGUUAGGAGUUGCAGGGUCUAACCGUUUUGGGGUUUAUGAGAAUGAUUUUGGUUGGGGAAAGCCUUCAAAGGUGGAGAUAGCAUCGGUGGAUAGAGCCCUAACAAUUGGAUUGGCAGAGAACAGAUAUGCGAAAGGCGGUGUUGAAAUUGGAAUUGUUCUGAAGAGACCAGUGAUGGAUCUUUUUGCCACUAUGUUUCGUGCAGGAUUGUCAGAUGAGUGAUUCAACACUGGAAUGGAACGUGUCAUUUUUUCAUCACAAAACCAAAUGUCUUGUGCAUUUGCUACAAAAAAAAUCUCUUUUAUUUUCUUGUUAAGUGAUAGACAUGAAGAAGGUGAAUACAUGGAUUUCCGGAGAUAGAGAGGAGAUACUAGUUCUUUAUUUAAAAUAAAAGUAAUUGUUCUUUAUUUAAAAUAGAAGUAGUUGUUCUCUGUUUAAAAUAGAAGUGAAAAUUUUUUAUAUAAUAUUUAUGAAAGGUUAUACAUAAUAGAUAUGAUGAAUAAUUUAUUUUCAAUAGAUAAAAUUGAUAAAUUAUAAAUUUUUUUUUAUGGUUAAAAGAAUUAUGAAGUGUAAUAUAAUUAUUAUUACUGCUAUUAUAAUUAGAAGUAAAACACAAAAUAGCUUACAUGUUUUACCUCUCAAACCCAAACACAGAGAAUCAGUGGGGAGAUCCGAUUAAGAUAUACACAGCCUAAGAACAUAGAGCAAUGCAGGGAUGCAGAGGUUAUGUUUCACGUAGAGUAGUCAAAAUAAGCUCAUAUAAAAGAACUUGUCCUUAGUCAACGUGGUUAGGGUUAAAAAAAAAUCUACAGAAUAAAAAAUAAUUAUUAAAAAAGCCUAUAGGGCGGAUACCUUUAAAGCUUAUGGAUUAAUAUGAGUCUUUCUUUUUAGAAUAAAAAAUAUAUAAUAUUAAACUUAUUAUCUUAACAUUUAAUAUAAUUAUAUACUAACAUUUACUAUAACUAUAUACUUAAACCUUAAACAAUGUAAAGAGUUGUUUCACAUACUUGAAUAUAACCAUAUACUUAAACCUGAAACAAUGUAAAGAAUUGUGUCACAUACUUGGUAAUACUAAAAACAUAUUCUCUCAUACUAAGUAUAUUAAUUUCUUACACUAACACAUGAUUAUAUCAAUGUACAAAAUUUAAUUUGCACCAUAUGAUAGACAUACAAAUUUAAUAUGCACAAGAAAUUUAAGAGCGUCCUAAUAGAAACAAGUAAAACAAAAAUAUCUUUAUACAUAAUUUUUGAGUAAAAUCUAUAGAAUAUUAAUUAUGAGUCAAACAAAUGUUCCAAUCUUAUUUCCAGCAAACAAAAAGUUAGGAUGCAGUUGAACCAGUGAAUUCGCUAUCGGUGUUCGCGGUGAGGCCAGAGCUUUUGUCUCGGCGUGCCCACCUUAACCUCCACGAAGUACUCUCGGAUGUUGAGGUCACGCUCGUUGUGCAACGACGACAUUUCCGAUCCAACUUGCCGUCGGUGAAGCGGUCAUGGUUCCGGUGCACAGCGGCGGCAAGAGAAAAUAGGAGGAGGGCGGGGGGUGAAGGUGAGGAGAAUCGAAACCUUAAACAUGUUGGAGUUGUUGGUUUUCGUUAAAGAGCGAGAAUCCUCAAAGAUAGUUAGUGAGAAGAAGGAUUUUCAGAUUUACGGUUAGCCCCAGCCUAACCCAACCUCAACCCAAAAGGGGCUUAGUUUUAACGGAAUUAGGGCCAACCCUGCAUGCAUCCAGUUACUGCAUGCAUAGUUACAAACAUCUAAGAUAAGUUAAAGUUUCACAAAAAACAUAAUGACAUUUAUGUACAUGUUUAGGUGUAUUUUCCUCUUUAUAUCUUCAUUCAUGCGUUCUCAAAUUCAUUGUCCUAAAUCCACGACAAUAUCUGGAAACAAACACAAAAUUUACUCACUUUGCUUAUCCUUAAAAAAACACAUUUCUUAUACACAACAUCAAUGAGCUCAAUUUUACAUUCUUCUACUUUUCAUUUUUUUUUUAUUUGUCCAACUUACUAAAAUAUUAGAUACUUGGAUUACUACAUAAAAAAUUAAAGUUAAAAUAUCCAUAGCUAGAUUUAGUUAUUGUUUGAACAUAAAAAAUAUUAGCAUAAUUUAUUAUUUAUACUAACCAUUAAAUAAUAUAUAAAGUAUAUCCUUCACUAUGUGAAAUGAAUAUUGCGAACUUAAAUGUAUUCUCUUUUUUUUGAAAGAUUAUUAUUGUUGUAAUUGUAUAAUCUUAUUAGGAGAAAUUGAGAAGGAUAUCUAGAGAGUUUAAUACUUGUUAUAAUUUGGAGAACUUUGUACUUGUGAUAUCUGUAGAGAUUGAUACUCAUAUUUGAAGAGUAACUUGUAAUACUUAGAAAGAUUAAACUCAUUAUAACUUAAAGAAAUUCAUACUUUUUACUAUUUAUAAGUGUUUGUUAGUAAAUUUCUUAGACAGAGUUAAGAAAAUGGGUGUAACUUAAUUGGAGGUGAACAUAUAUAAAUUAUGGUGAGUUAUUAUACUCCCUACUCUUAACAUUAAUUAUAUCUGUUGUAUUAUGUAUUUGCAAAAAAAAAGUGACAAAUAUUUACAAGUUCCCUCCCUUUAUGUUGUUGACUUACAUUAAUAUGAAAGAUAUGAAUGUUAAAAUAAGGAUGUUACAAAAGUAAAUCUCUAUUGUAAUUAAUAAUUACCUCAAAAAAUAUAUUUUAAAUAUAAUUUUUGCUUAAAAUUUUAUGCGAAAAUAUAAAGCAACCGGCUGAAAAUAUACAUGCAAAACAAACGUUUUAAAUUCAUGAUAGAAAACAUUAUAAAAUGUUAGAGGUUAAAAUUUGAUAACAAUAUUUUUCAAAUAGGUUUAAUUACCUAUUUAGUCCCCAAGUUGGUAGCUGAAUUUCUGUUUGGUACCCGGUUUUAGAAGUGAUUUAAUUAGGUCCCCAAGUUAUUGAUUUUGCUUUCAAUAGGUCCCUUCCAUUACGUACCUUGUUACGGUGUUAAAUGUUGAGUGAUCUGUCAACUGAAUUAUGUGUUGUGGCAAUGAGGUGGCCCAUUUUAUUGAACGUGGUAGACAAUGAAUAACCCAAUUAUUGACGUGUGUUAUCAGAAUUUGGGGUUUUUUAAAAUUAGGGUUUUUUAAUCAGAAUUUGGGGUUUUUGACAUUUGGGUGUUUUAUCAGAAAGUGUGAUUCUGGAAGGUUCGAGUAGAGGUUUCCAGGAUUGGUGUUCUCGAUCCAGACUAUGGAGCGAAUAGGGUUCAUGAAGGCUACUUUUGAGGGAAAAGGUUUUAGAGUGGUAUUUGUUCGAAGCAAAAAGGGCGAAAAGGUGCGCAUGUUUACUUGUUUUUCUGUCCCCUACCAUGUUGUGUUGUGGUCCCCCUUUUGUGUGUUCUGCGUACCGUUUAAUGCUUUCUUUUUGGAUUGUUCCCUUUGUUUAAUGUUUUCUUUUUUGUUGUGGUUACUGUUUGUAUGGUUUGGUCCCCUUAGGAAGUACUAUUUUGUCUUUUGUUUUGUGGGAUGUGUGGUUGUUUUUUAAGGUGUGGGUCAUGCACAUGCAUUUAAGCUUUUAAGACAAAAUGGAAUGUUGUGGGUUGUGGGUGUAGGUGAAAGAGUUAUUGCUAGUGAUAAAGUUAAAUUUUGUUUGCCUACACGUGUAAUACUUAUUAGUAACGUGGCAUGUUUACUAUGAAUGUAGUAUGACAGUUACUUUUGUGUGUAGGCUUAAAAAUAGUUGAGAAUAAUAGAAAAUGUCAAACUGUGGUGUAGAGGUGGUGUUUCACCAUGGGGGAAAGUUUUGGAAUGAUGGGUCAUUCAAAUACCAUGGAGGUCAAACAAGUACCUUGGUCAUAGACAUAGAUAGAUGGAGUUAUUUUGAAAUCUUGGCCAUACUGAAGGAGAUGGGAUAUAGAAAUGUUAAGGAGUUGUGGUAUUCCCUAGGUGGUCCUGUAUUAGAAGAAAGGUUGGAGUUGUUAAGUGAUGAUAAGGGAGCAAUGCAUGUGGUGAACAUUGCGUUAUUGAAUGGGUCAGCUCAUUUGUUUGUGGUUCACAUGGUGUCCGAUCCUGAUUAUAUUCUUGAGUUGGAAAAUGAUGUUGGUAAGCAUGGUGAGGAUGGUGAAGAAAUAGGUAAAGAUGGACAAGUGGGUGAAAAAGAAGGUGUUGAGGUAGAAGAAGCUGAAGUUGGUAGUGGUGUAGGGGAAGAUGUAGUUGGUGGUGAACAAAAUGUCGAGGAGGAUGGUGGAGAAGAUGGUAAAGGUGAUGGUGGUGAAGAAGUUGAAGUUGGUGGUGAAGAAACUGAAGUUGGUUAUGGUGUAGGGGAAGAUGUAGUUGUUGGUGAACAAAUUGUCGAGGAGGAUGGUGGAGAAGAUGGUAAAGCUGAUGAUGGUGAAGAAGUUGAAGUUGGUGGUGAAGAAGCUGAAGUUGGUUGUGGUGUAGGGGAAGAAGGUGAUGAUGAUAGUGAAGAUGUUGAAGAUGUAGUUGGUGGUGAUGAUGAUAGUGAAGAUGAUUUGGUGGAUGUUUUUGUGAAUGCAGAUGAAGAAGUCGAAGAGGAGGAUGUUGAUAGUGAAGAUGAGAUGGUGAAUGUUGGUACACGAAGUGGAAGUAGGAAGUCAAAGUUGCAUGCCCAUGCUAGGGGCUUAUCAGAUAGUGAGUGGGAAUCUGAUGAAUGUGGUAGUAUUGAUGAAAGUGAUGAUGAUUCAAGGAAUGAAACACCCCGAUAUGGAGAUUUUGGGGUAUUCUCAAAGCCAAGUAAUAUGAAAGAAUAUAAGUGGCUGGUGGGGACAUACUUCCCUGAAAAAACUGAUUUCAUUGAUGCAAUUAGGACAUAUGGAAUACAUAAUGGUAGAAAGUUGAAGAUUUCUAAAAAUGACAAGAGAAGAAUAUGUGUUAAAUGUUAUGGAUCACAAGGGAAGUGUCCUUGGUAUGCAUAUUGUUCCUAUAGGAGUAUUCAAACUACAUGGCAACUAAGGAAGAUAAUUGAUAAACAUACAUGUAGUAGGGAAUUCAACAUUGGUCUAGUUACCAAGAAAUAGUUAAGUGGGAAAUUAGAGAAGACCAUGAAAGCAAAUCCAGAAAUCAAUCUGAGAAAUCUGCAUAGUAAGUUUUCAAAAAAAUGGAAUAUUGGUGUGUCUAGGUCUACAACAACCAAGGCAAAAGCCAUGGCUACUGCCAACAUUGAAGGUUGUUUCAAACUGCAGUAUGAAAGACUAUAUGAUUAUGCACAUGAAUUACUGAGAUCAAACCCUGNAUCAACANUGAUANUAAAAGUUGGACGAAAUNGGGAUAAUGUUAUAUUCAACAGAAUUUAUGUGUGUUUCAAAGCAUGUAAAGACAGCUUUGUCUGUUGUCGCCCUAUCAUACAUUUGGAUGGUUGUUUUUUAAAAGGCAAGUAUGGAGGUGAGUUUUUAACUGUCGUUGCAAGAGAUGGUAAUGAUCAGAUGUGUCCAUUAGCCUAUGCUGUUGUUGAAGUACAAAAUAAGGAGACAUGGACUUGGUUUUUAGAAUUGUUAAUUGAUGAUCUUGGAGGAGGAGGAUUUUGUUCAAGGUGCACAUUUAUGUCAGAUCAACAGAAAGUAAGUAUUUCUUUGUUCAUUUCGUUCAUUGCUUUUUUCAGCAUGCCAAUUUAAGACUCUGAUUGGUGUCAUAGGGACUUAUGCAAGCUUUCCAGCAAUUGCUGCCUGGUGUGGACCAAAGUUUCUGUGUAAGGCACUUGUAUUCCAAUUUUCGAAAGAAAUUUCCUGGCAUAAUUUUGAGACAAUUAGUGUGGAAGGCAGCAGCAGCUUCACACCCCCAAGCAUGGGAAACGAUCAUGAGACAAAUCAAGGAUGUCAACGAAGACGCCUUUAAACACUUGAUGAGUAUUGCACCAAGGUAAGUGCAUCAAUUCUUUAAAAAGUUUAAGGUUUCUUUAUGUAACAAAUACUUAUGUUCAAUGUUCUUUGCAGGUUUUGGUCUAGGUCAAGGUUUUCAGGAAGACCUUCAUGUGACACAGUUGUGAAUAACAUCUCUGAAGCUUUUAACAGCGUCAUUGUAGAUGCAAGGGGGAAACCUAUUAUAACAAUGUUGGAAGACAUUCGCAGCUACCUAAUGAAGAGGUGGGCAUCCAACAGACAGAAGAUAACUAAGUAUGAAGGUUCCAUUUGCCCCAAAAUUCAAAAGAGACUUCAUAAGGAGCUACAGAAGACACAAUAUUGGAUACCUAAGUAAGUGAAAUUUAACAUACACACAUGAUUUCAAACUAUUUUGCUUGUUGUUAUAAAGUUCUUUGCUUCUUUAUGUUGCUUUCGCAGUUGGUCAGGGCUGCAAGUAUUUGAGAUCCAGCAUACCUCCAAUAUUACAGAAAAGUAUGUGGUUGAUGUAGACAAAAAAGAUUGUAGCUGCAGGAAGUGGCUUCUCAUAGGGAUACCUUGCUGCCAUGCACUCACAGCUAUGAGGUUUUUAAACCUGACUCCAGAAGACUUCAUACCAAAUUGGUUUAAGACCACCACUUAUGAAGAAACUUACAAUCCAAUAAUUUUCCCUGUCAAUGGACCUGACCUAUGGCAAAGAACAGCCUAUCCUGAUAUUUUGCCUCCUCCUAAUAGGNUCUUNCCANGUAGACCAAGAAAAAAGAGAAGACUCGAGAGUUGGGAGCAAAUGAGGGAUGACACUCAACUUNGACAAGCUGGAAUCCCAAAGAGAUGUGGCAUUUGUAGGCAAUUAGGACAUAGAAGAACUAAUUGCCCUCAAGCAAGUCAACAUCAACACGAUCAACCUACAGCAAACCCCACUCAAGGAAGUGAACAACAAGACCAACAACCUGCACAAGAUGCCACUCAAGGAACUCAACAAGAAGACCACCAACCUACACCACCUGCCACUCAAGGAAGUCAAAUUACUCAUGAUGACACUUCAAGACCAGUUUAGAUAUUGGUCACAAAUUUGUUGCAUUUUGGAUAUGUAUGACUCAAGGAAUAUGUAUUUUGAAUAUUUACUUUAUCGUUUAAGAACUUGAAACUAUCAUUUAUAUGUAUUUUCAAUAUGUACUUGGAAGUCUAUGAUGUAUUUACCAGCUACAAGUUUGUGAUGUAUUUUGGAAGACCAAUAUAUGAAAUUGCUAUCUAAUUGUGUUGUCAAUUCCCUCUGCAAUUUUGUUGCAGAAUUUCAUUUAUGUUUUCCAUUUCAUCCAUUUGACCUUUAUUCUAAGCUUUGAUGGUCUGAAUGAUGAGAAAUAUGACAGAAUGGAGAGGUUAUGUGUCAAUUUUCAUGUAACUAUGAUUUUGAGAUAAUUUUUAGUUUAAACAAGUCUUAAUUGUUGUUUUAAAACUGCUAUAACAGUCCAGUUCGGGUCACAUGCAUUUAUAUGCAAUUUAGCAUGUGAAACCAUCUUAUUUGAUCAAUUUUUGGAACUUCGAAGUUGAUUUUUAGUUGCAGUAAUUUCCAGUCAAGUUUAAUCCUUUGUACUGGUUUAUUGGACCAUUUACAAUGUGUAUGCAAUGUUAGAUUGUUGUUUUCCUUGGCCUUUAUGCAAAAUCACAGUUUCACCUUUCAAAUUUUACUCAAAUUGGAACUCAAUCAGUCAAAUUUUGAUUUGAACAUUAUUGUGUCUGUUUGAUGAGUUCCACGUGUUCCAUUUCAUGACACAAACUUGUUUCAAGUGUCAUUUUACCAUUUCAAUCACUGAAAUUCAUCUUAGCCACUGCAAAAUUGGCUACUGCACAAUUGCCUACUGCAGUUCCAUUUUUUAUUGCCACUGCAGUUCUUUUUUUUGUUGACAAUAUUCUUAAGGCAAUUCCACUUUUAAACCCCUGCAUUCCAGUUUUACAUUAAGUUCCAAUCUGUUUCUGCAAAGUGUCUAUGAAGUUUCAGAUUUAACCAACAACAAUCAGCUAUCACAGCAUCACUGAAUACAAUCUCAUAAUAACAACAAACACUAUAUACCAAUAACAACUUCUUCUUCAUUAAAUAUAACUUUUUCAUUACAAUAAUAUUCUGCAUUAAAAUAAAAGACAUACAAACAUGAUGUUCAUAAACCCCAUGAAACAUAAAAACCCCAAAUACACCUUCUCCCUUUUCUGAUAAACUAAAACUGAUUUUUCCAAAGUAAGAAUCUUUCUCCUUUGCCAUCUAAUUGUACUAUCCCUUUCAUCCAUAUAAUCACCAUUGCGCCAUUUGAAGUAAUCACAACCUCGCACUUCUUCGUUUCGAGUACGUUGUUCCAAACAUCCAACCAAAACGAUGUCAGGAUACACCAAAGUAAUCCACCCUAAAAUCAAUAAAAACACAACCAAGGAAUGUUACCUUGUAAUUAGGGCAGCCCCAAAAAUAUCUGCCCUCAUUCUUAGCAGUUUUUGUCACUCUUAAUAUGGCAACCUCUCCACAAUAGCACACAUGGCUGCCACCCGUUCCUCUUCAUGAACCACCACACGAGGUCCCCCAUGAGCAAGACGAACACUGAUUCAUUGACAUUGGGUGAAGGAAGGAUGCAAUAAACAAAAAAACAACGUAGGGUCAACUCAAGUAUUUAUAGCAGUAAACAAAAAAAUAUUAUUGCAUUUAUACCGUGAUAACUCCCUCCACACAUGUGUAAACUCAAGUAUAAACACCACAUGGUUAGUUGUUCAGUAUCAUAAACAACGUAGGGUCAACCUCACAGAACUGGUAAUGUGCAAUAAAUAUAAUAAAUAUACUAACAUGUGGAAAAAAACAAAAACUAGAAAUGUGGAAAUGUUCGCCUUCUGGAAGGAAAACGAAAUACGACAUCAAGACACAGGUCAACUUUAGCUUGUAGGACCACUCCUUUCAGAGAAUCCUAUCAAAAGAGGUAAGGUUAUUAUUACCAAAAUAAAAUAGCAAGGAAUAUAGUUUUCUAAAAUUAACAUAUAAUAUUAUUAUUAUUUUUUAUUUAACCAAUACUAUUUGUAGCUGUUGUCAAUUUUUCCUGCCUGCCUGUCUUCGGGAACAAGUUGCAUAGCAACAGCAAAUUUUAAUCAUCCCUUACGUCAUUGUAAGUUAAGAAUUAAAUAUAAACAUUAUUUAUUCCAUUUUUCUGUUUUCCUUUUUAUCAUAUCACUUAUUGGUUUUAGUAAAUAAUGUACAUAAUUAAUAUAGUAAAAUAUAAAAUAUUAAAACAAAUAUUUCGAGAUAUCCAUUUGUUUUUUGAUUGUAGAGACAGUUGGGAUCUAAUUAAUCCAAAAUAUAAUAAGAAAAAAAAACAAAUAUAAGAUCAAAUGCAGUUUAAAAAGUGACUUUUUUAGUUUCAUUUUUUCCUAUUUGAUUUACUUAGUUUGGCUUUUAGUUUACAAUCAGCCACGUAAUCAAAUCACUGAUUCCAUUGAUAUGUAAUAUUAUGUAUUUUAAAUUAAUCAACAACGAAGUAAUAUAAAAUAAAAAAAUAUAACCAUGAGAGAAAUUUAGCAUUUGAUUAUAUGGUUAAAUAUGUUUUUAACUUUUAAAUUUAAAUAUAAAAUUAAAAAUUGGAUUAUAUCUAAAUUAAAAUUUGAUCUUAAAUUUUAAAAAUAAAUAAAUAUAAUUUUUUAGUUAGAAUGCUUGAAAUAUUUUUUAUAUAUUACAUCUUAAAUUGAUGCUUGUAUUGAUUACAUAUCUACAUAUUCCGAAUCAAAUAAAAUUUUAAAAUACCAUUUAAUAUUAUAAAAAUAAUUGAUGCAAUUGAAUUAAAAAAAUUGUAUUACUUUAUUUUUUAAAGGAUUAAAUAUCUUCUGGGGCACUUUUGGUUUUAGUCCCUCUUUUAAACUAAGGUACAAUUUAGUCCUUCAACUUUAGAAAACUCUGGUUUUAGUUAUUUUUACCACAUUUUUUAACUUUAUUUGCGAUUUUAAACGCGUUUCUCAGUUAACAUUGAAGCAAAAAUGUGUCAAACAGUGCAAACAAUCCAAAUGCUAUAAUGAAACGUGCUUGAAACAGCAAAUAAAGUUAAAAAAAAAUUGAUAAAAAGGACUAAAAGCAGAUUUUCUAAAGUUGAAGGACUAAAUUGUACCUUAGUUUAAAAGAGGGACUAAAACCAAAAUCACCCCAAAAUAUAGGGACUAAAAACAUAUUUAACCCUUUUUUAAAUAUACAAAUCAAAAUAUAUUAAAAAAAUAUUUAACCAUGGGUUAUAUUAUAUACAUUUGUAUACUUAUCAAAACAUGAAAAGAAAAUUAUAUUAUAGAUUUCUAAUGACAAUAUUAUAUAAUUUAUUUAUGAUAUUAUAUAAUUUAUUUAUGAAUAGGAAAGCAACAUUAAAAUGAUAUAAUAAUAAAUAUAAAAGCAAAUUAUUUUCUCAAGAUUAAUUAAAAUAGUAAAAAGAACCAAAAAACAAAAAAUAUCCAAAAGUCAAAAUAUAUUUAACAAAAAUUUAGCCUAUUUAAAUUUUAUACUUAAUCAGAAUAUUUUUUUAACAAAAACAAUUAAGGUUAAAAUCAUCGGUUAGUCUUCACUUUUGUAUGGUAAUCUCAAUGGGAUCAUUUUUGCAACUGUCUCAAUUGGGUCAUAUUUUUUUUUGUAAAAAUGAGUCAAAUUUACCCUAACCGUUAAGUGUUCUCAGACGACGUUAAUUGGUGCUGAUGUAUUUAUACUAACAGUCAUUAAUACGCUUCUCGACCUCCAAGCCAAGUCCCACAUUGUCUUCUCCUCUUAACCUAACCUCCUUGACAACGCAUUCGUUUUCUUGAAAGUGUUUAGGAGAUAUUUAUCAAGUAAAAGCUCAAACAAAAUAAGACUGAACCUUAGAAACCAGAUCGAGAAGCCUGUUAGGUGGGGCUUCCACAUUUAGUGGUUGCUGAAGCAACAACACUUGCAGUCUAAAGAAAAAUUAGCAAGCAUUUUAUUUGCUUUAUAAAUAAAAAUGAAAAUGGAUUUAUAAGAUCAAUAAAUGCAUUCAUUCAGCAUGUUAGGUUACGUUUGAAGGAAGAUUGGGCUUGCCUGGGUGAGAUUAUUGUCCCGAAGAUGUGCGACGACGAGAGAAUUGAUGUUUCUGUAGAGUUUGCCAUCAAGCAUGGCCUAUUCUGAGUUACUACUAUCCAUUCCUGCAUAGAGAAAAUAUCCCUAAUUCGACAAAACCAAUAACCCUAAAAACUGAUCUAUUUGGUUAGUUCUCAAAUCGAAGGAGGAAAAGCUUAGUCAUGCUUACUUUGUUGUCGCCACUUUCAAAGGGUCUUCAAAAUUAAAAGAAAAUGAAAUUAUUUGCAAAUUUCAUUUGUUUCCAAAACGGACUCCAACUCAAACGCAAAAACCCUAUGAUUUUAGGGAUCUCACCACUGCACAAAAUUUUAUCAACCAGGAGACUUCAAAUGAAAUUAAUCAGCGAACAACGACUCCUGCAACGCGUCGAUGGAGGACAUGUAUGUUUCAGUGAAAACAUUUUUUUUCAGUGAAAAUAUUAUGACCCACAUUUCCAAAUACGAGGACCUACUUGAAAUUUCCAUACAAAUAUGAGGACCAUCGUGAGAAUUUAAACCAAAAAUUAACUUGUAGCAUAGUUCUCACUUUAGUCAACAUAUCUCAUAUCUCAAGUUACUUCCUUCUUUUAAAAAAAAAAUUAAUUGUAUCUUAAUUUUUCAAGAAAAUAUUUCAAUUGAGUUUUUUCUUAAAAAAUUACUAAGAGCCUUAUAAGUAUGUCAAGUGUUAAUAAAUGAUUUUUUUUAAAAUUUUUGUUUAUGUUACAUAACAAGUUUUUAGUAUGACACGAUAUACUAUUAAUGUUAUAUGGUAAGAUAUUUAGUGUUAAUGAUAAGUGUUUUGGUCUUCUCUAUAUUUGUCUUUUUAAUUUAAUUUAGUUUCGAUUUUUUUAUAAUGAACUAAUAUUCUCUUUUCCCAAGUUGAAACAAUUUUUUUUAACUUUAUGUUUUGUUAAUUAAUGUUUUUCUAUAAAAUUAAAACUAUUUAAGUACACAUAUUUUUAUAAAAAAUACAAGAACUUAAAUUAAUACAUUAUUAAUAUAUGUAUUCUAUUAAAGUAAAUUAAUUAAUACUAUUUAUAAAAGUAAUAAAUUUAAUCAUUUUUAAUUGAUACUAAAUUUUUUAUUUAUAUAAAAAUUAGACUCGUAUUUGUAAUAAAAUUUAAUAAUUGAAGUUCAUAUUAACAAAAGAAUUAGUUAAUAAUAUACAUAAUAAAUAUCAAUAUAAUUUUAUACAAAUAAUUAGUUAAUAAUAUACAUGAUAAAUAUCAAUAUAAUUUUAUAAUAAUACUAAAUUUUGUCUGAUAAACAAUAUUAUUUUACUUUAAUUAAAUUGGAAGUAAAACUAUAUUAAAGUAAAAACAAUGAAAUUCCAAACUAAUUCUAAUAUGUUUGAGAAUGUCAAUAUCAAACUAAAAACUUACAGGUAAUAACAAAAAGUUUAUAAUAAAUUUUUAAAAAAUAAUUUAAAAAUUAUAAAAAAUUAAAAAUUCACAUAUAGUAACCCGUGACCUUCCCUUAACGCCUUUAAUAAUUUUUUUCAAAAAAAAAAAAUAAUUGAAAUAAUUUUUCAAAAUUUAAAACAUAAUUAAAACUUUUUAAAAAAUUAGAACAUUUUAACACCCUCUCCCGAGGUGGUGGUGGGAACCAUCAAGAUGAACCGUACAAUUUCAAUUCACGUCUAGAAAUCAACCCAGCUUGCAAAAUUUGUUGGUUUAUGACAGAGUAAUGAUACACAUUUUCACCUCAGUUGCAUCCUCCAUCACCAUUAAACCAAGGCUUCACCUUUGUUUUAUCCAAUCUUGAAAGAAACAUACACUCCAUACUUUCUUCACAUGGCUUCCCAUAACCUCAAAAUCCAUGAACAGUGCACUGUUGCUCCUCCCUCUGCGCCCCAAACAACCCUCCCUUUCCUAUUCUUCGACCUGCUCUGGCUCAGGUUUCAUCCUGUAGAACGCAUCUUCUUCUAUUCCCUCCCUGUAACCCAUUCAAAUCCAUCCAUUUUCUUCACCCAAGUUGUUCCAAAGCUCAAAACGUCACUCUCUCACACCCUCCAACACUUUUCCCCUCUCGCCGGCAACGUCCUGUGGCCCUAUGGUUCUCCAAACCCCGUCAUUCAGUACAACCCAGGCGACGGUGUUUCAGUGGUGCUUGCAGAAUCCGAAGCCGACUUCGACCAUGCGUUGGACAACGCUCCUAAAGACGCAUCAGAGUCACGUUGUUUGGUGCCCCNNNN
rnacentral:lncRNA from 1 species